rnacentral:tRNA from 1 species
UAUAGAUUAAUUAUUAAAUCGUAAGGCUGUUAACUUUAAGAUGCUGCAAUUUAAGGCUAG